rnacentral:rRNA from 1 species
UGUUCCUACGGGGGGCAGCAGUGGGGAAUAUUGCACAAUGGGGGAAACCCUGAUGCAGCGAUGCCGCGUGGAGGAAGAAGGUUUUCGGAUUGUAAACUCCUUUUAUCAGGGACGAUAAUGACGGUACCUGAAGAAAAAGCUCCGGCUAACUACGUGCCAGCAGCCGCGGUAAUACGUAGGGAGCGAGCGUUGUCCGGAAUUACUGGGUGUAAAGGGAGCGUAGGCGGGACGGCAAGUCAGAUGUGAAAACUGAGGGCUCAACCUUCAGACUGCAUUUGAAACUGUAUUUCUUGAGUGCUGGAGAG